AGCUCAGACCCAGUUUCAGGGUCUUCUGGGGAUGAGAUCAGACAACUUGGAGUUACCUGUACCAGCUGAUACUUAGUAUUUACGCUGUUUUCUAAUUAAUACUGAGUCUAUGUGAAGGGCUUAACAUCUGACUGUCAUAGUUGUACAGAUAUUAGCUUCGGUUUUUCCCAGGGACUCAUGUGGGAGGGAGGGAGCUGUGGCUGUGGAUGUCCCUGUGUCUGCUUCAUGAUGAACUUUUGCCUCUGCCCUGCCCUUAGAGCUUGGGAAAGUCGAGGUGACAGUGUUUGACCCAGACUCCCUGGACCCCAAUCGCUGUGAGAGCUGCUAUGGUGCGGAAUCAGAAGAUAUCAAGUG
rnacentral:lncRNA from 1 species